rnacentral:rRNA from 1 species
UACGAAGGGGGCUAGCGUUGCUCGGAAUCACUGGGCGUAAAGGGUGCGUAGGCGGGUCUUUAAGUCAGGGGUGAAAUCCUGGAGCUCAACUCCAGAACUGCCUUUGAUACUGGAGAUCUUGAGUUCGGGAGAGGUGAGUGGAACUGCGAGUGUAGAGGUGAAAUUCGUAGAUAUUCGCAGGAACACCAGUGGCGAAGGCGGCUCACUGGUCCGAUACUGACGCUGAGGUGCGAAAGCGUGGGGAGCAAACAGG